GGAUUCUCCUUUAUUUCCAUCAGAAGGCUAACAUUUUACUUUUUUAAGUUUUCUUUCUGUAACACUUUAAAGGCAAACGUGAGUUUAUCAUAACUUGAUUUUUAUAAAUAAUGUAUAAAUAUGGUAGCAAAUAAUUUAAAGAAGAGUUUGUGGGAUAAAGUUUGAAUCGAUUGGGAUGAACUCAGCACUUGGGAUUUCAUUUAGCUGUUUAGAUACUCCAUUCCUUGCAUAUAUGUCUAUAAUAAGUUUUCAGAGUGUGACUUUGGCUUUGUUUUGUUGUGGGUUUGUUUGUCUCUUCCAUUGUGCUACUCUGGCUUAAGCUUUUUCAGGGGUUGGUGUUCCGAAUACACAGUGAGCUCACACUUUAAAGACAUCAAUUAGGAGUUGACAGGUAUGGAAAACUAGAGUUGUGUAAAGUAAACUAGGUUCUAGGUUAUAUAUAUGGUUUAAAGUACACUGUGUUCAGUUGGCCUUAGUGAUGUGCACGGGGCUUGUGAAACCAGUAGAGCUUUUUAGUCACCUUAGAAGUGAUCACUGUAGCCUUUCUGAUACAAUAGUCCUAACAUAUGUACGUGAAUAGCCAAAGACUAUCAAAUUCUAAAGAGUACACAUUAUAUAGAUUGGAACAUAUAGGGUAGCAUUUCUGAAGCACAGCAUGGUUAACCAGAUUAGCCAGGGUCAUAAAACAAAGUUAGUGGCAGAAUGGAAAUAGUUUGUACAGUUUGGUAGUCUUCUGUUAGAUACUGCUUUCCUUUAUGUCCAUCCCAGUUUGCUUACUGUUUCCUCCUUCCCUGUCCUUUCUAAGGUUUUCACUCUGAAAGCUAGCUUUAUAUUUUACAUUAGAGCAGUAAUCUCUCUUUAAUAAAGGGUUUCAGAGACAAUAGCCAGCACCUUCCCUUUAUUUUUUGCAUAGUUUUAUCUGGUAGCUUGUCCUACACAAAAAAUGUAUACAUUCAGCAGACCUGGUUAGUGAAUAAGAAACCCUGGCCUCAGCUAGAGGCGUGUAAUAAAUGAUAGCCUAUUCUGUGCUUCAGUUGACACAUGGGAUAGGGACAUCCUCUGGCAUCUUAAGAUAAUUAGCUGUUGAACUGAACUGAAAUUUACUUGUCCAGGAAUUCCACCUGCACUCCUACAGGGAUGUAUGAGGUGUUCUGAGAAGGACUCCUUCAGGAGACUUUUGUUCUCUGGCCUAUGAGAAUGGCUACCAGUAGAAUGUUUGCAUUGCACAGGCUGUAGAGAGUUUAAACAACCCCUAUUCUGAUGCCCCAUUAAAUACUGCUGACUUGUAAGGAAUCUUGAUUUUAUUGUAUUCAAACUUACUAGGUGGACCUUAUAGAGUAUAUUUACCUGGCUGCUAUUUGGGAUUUGGGGAACAUGAGGGGUGGGGUGAACUGUUGUUGUUUUAGGUUUCAGUCAGACAGACAUCCCUGUGCCUCAGUUCCCAGAAGCACAGCAGGCCUCUAGAAGCAUCCGUGGGAACGGCGCAGUCCUGACAUCUCCAACUUCUCCUGCUCAGGCUCAUCCCAUAUGCAGAGGUCAAAAGGGUGGGGUUUGAGAUGGGGGAAGGAAUGAGAAAGUGGAAGCGAUGUCAUUGCAGUGCUGCUGUCGACCAGCUCUUUGGUGCUGAUGUCAGUGUUUGUUAUUGUUUUAAGUUGCCAAGUCUGUACAUACAUCUAUUCGGGGAGAAAGUAAUGGGAGGGUGGAAAAAGGAAGCCGUUAUUAUUGCUAGUCUCUUCUUGGAUGUAGUUCCUUAGUGUCGAAUAGAAAAUUUCAAAUGUAGGCUCCAGUGACAAAGAAUGGGAAUAGAAGUGAAUCUUAGAUUUUUAAAAAGCAUUAGACAUCAUGCUGUGUUAAUUCCCAAUUCUCUUAGAACUAUUAUUUUUGUCAUUCCUUCCCUUCCCCCUAAUUUUCCUAUGUAUGUACUAGUUUAAGGCAAUGUACAUUCAUGAUCAGCCCUUUCUAAGGGACUUAAUGAAUAUUAACUCUUUUGUAAAACAAAAUACCCAAUGCUUAUAUGGGCAUACAAAUGCUACCCUAUUUUAAAUGUAGGUGGCGUAUGUGUUCGUGUUUUAUUGUAUUCAGAGCCAUUGGGCAAUAAGCAGUCCAGAACAUUGAAAUCUCAAGCAGCAGAGAGAUAAACGGGUAGGUGGCAGCAGAGAAAGGAACUUUGAGAGUGGCUGUUGACGUUAACCCUGCAUAGGAGAAGCAACAGCAUGUGACGUACCGAGUGGAGCAAGGAAGGGCAGAGACCAAGAAAGCUGGAUUUAGGAUGGCUGCCUCCUUCCUCUGAAUGGUGCUUUUGAAAUAACCAGUGCUAUUCUGGAUGAAGACAGAUUGGAGUUCACUUUUUAAAGUGGAAGAAUAACACAGAAUAAGUCAGUAGUUCUACCUUGUUGGCUUCAGUGUGGUUUCUUUUUCUGAAAUAAAAGCACUGACUGGAAAUGAAACACGUGGAGUGUGCCUUGUUCUUUUAGCAGCUAUUAUCUCUACGAACUCCAUCAUAUGUGCUUUUCACAUUAGUCCAGGAUACUAGACUCAACCGAGUUCUUUUAUUCUUCCCACUAGUUGUCUUCUGCAUAUGAAGUCUUACAUUCUUCUGAUGGGAAUGCUCCUUUUGGCACAUAGGCAGGUACUACAGCAGUGUUGGAUAAUUUCCUCUGGGUCCCUUUCCUUCAACACUGAAUGAUCAUGCCAACUUGCUGCUGUGGUUGUUAAUCUCUGAAAGGAAUGGUCAUAUUGUCUCAGAUUUCAAUUCUAGCACUUAAUGGUUACAUGGCCUUUGGACACAUCUCUCUCCAUGAUGUAGAGUAUUUAUUUCAAAAGAAAGUAAAUGAAUUUAGUUAGAUUAAUAUGUAAGGAUUACUAGAAUAUGGUGUAGCAUUUCACCUAUUGUUGAAUAUUUAACACUGUCAAUCUUAUGCAUUUGGUUACUGAUAACUAAUUCAAAACGACUGAAUUAUUUAAUUUGCUGAACUUCAACAUGGGGUCUUGCCAAUAUUGGCAAGCACUCUACCACUGAAAUAAACGUAUUCCUAAGA